rnacentral:rRNA from 1 species
UGGGGAAUAUUGCACAAUGGGCGCAAGCCUGAUGCAGCGACGCCGCGUGAGGGAUGAAGGCCUUCGGGUUGUAAACCUCUUUCAGCAGGGACGAAGCGCAAGUGACGGUACCUGCAGAAGAAGCACCGGCUAACUACGUGCCAGCAGCCGCGGUAAUACGUAGGGUGCGAGCGUUGUCCGGAAUUACUGGGCGUAAAGAGUUCGUAGGCGGUUUGUCGCGUCGUGUGUGAAAUCCCGCAGCUCAACUGCGGGCUUGCAGGCGAUACGGGCAAACUUGAGUACUGCAGGGGAGACUGGAAUUCCUGGUGUAGCGGUGAAAUGCGCAGAUAUCAGGAGGAACACCGGUGGCGAAGGCGGGUCUCUGGGCAGUAACUGACGCUGAGGAACGAAAGCGUGGGUAGCGAACAGG